GACGAACGCUGGCGGCGCGCUUAACACAUGCAAGUCGAACGGAAAGGCCUGCUUUCCCUUGUGGAUUGCGGGUACUCGAGUGGCGAACGGGUAAGUAACACGUGAGUGAUCUGCCCCCAACUUGGGUAUAAGCCUGGGAAACUGGGUCUAAUUCCCGAUAGGACUGCAGGGUGGUGCCUGUGGUGGAAAACGAUUUUCUAGUGGUUGGGGAUGAGCUCGCGGCCUAUCAGCUUGUUGGUGGGGUAAUGGCCUACCAAGGCGGCGACGGGUAGCCGGCCUGAGAGGGUGGACGGCCACAUUGGGACUGAGAUACGGCCCAGACUCCUACGGGAGGCAGCAGUGGGGAAUAUUGCACAAUGGGCGGAAGCCUGAUGCAGCGACGCCGCGUGGGGGAUGACGGCCUUCGGGUUGUAAACUCCUUUCGACCGCGAGGAAGCCACCUGGUUGGAAGGGUGGUGACGGUAGUGGUAGAAGAAGCACCGGCUAACUACGUG
rnacentral:rRNA from 1 species